GAUGAACGCUGGCGGCGUGCCUAACACAUGCAAGUCGAGCGAUUCUCUUCGGAGAAGAGCGGCGGACGGGUGAGUAACGCGUGGGUAACCUGCCCUGUACACACGGAUAACAUACCGAAAGGUAUGCUAAUACGAGAUAAUAUGCUUUUAUCGCAUGGUAGAAGUAUCAAAGCUUUUGCGGUACAGGAUGGACCCGCGUCUGAUUAGCUAGUUGGUAAGGUAACGGCUUACCAAGGCGACGAUCAGUAGCCGACCUGAGAGGGUGAUCGGCCACAUUGGAACUGAGACACGGUCCAAACUCCUACGGGAGGCAGCAGUGGGGAAUAUUGCACAAUGGGCGAAAGCCUGAUGCAGCAACGCCGCGUGAGCGAUGAAGGCCUCGGUCGUAAGACUCUGUCCUCAAGAAGAUAAUGACGGUACUUGAGGAGGAAGCCCGGCGUAACUACGUGCCAGCAGCCGCGCUGAGACGGCCAAGGCGACACAGGGAGUAGG
rnacentral:rRNA from 1 species